ACGACUCUGAAAACCCAGGGUUCUUUCUCAUCGCCAAGCAGUCCAGCUGGUAUCGAUGCAGCUCAGAGGUUACUCAUGGUGGCUUUGGUGUCUUCUUCUUCCCCUCUCCUUGUCCACAAUUUUGGAAAACCAGGCCCUCUUUCUCAUCGCCAACUAGUCUGGCUGGUGUCUCUGCAACUCAAAGGCUGCCAGAUCUACUCACCAACCAAUCCCAUCUCUGUUUCUGAUCUCAGAGACUACCGACCCUCUGUCUAUUGGUGGUUGUUGUUGCCUUGUGUGUACAAUAUGAAGUUGAUUUCCGUCCAAAUAUAAGCAUUGUAGUCAAAGGUUUACAACCUUUGUUGAAUCCUAGCCAGCACCAAGUCCAGGUCCCCCACAGUGAAUGCCACUACAAUGAAUAUAAAUUCGUUGAACUAUUUAUAGUGGAAUAUAAUGUUAAAGAUUUGAUUUGCACACAUGAUGAUUCUAUUCAAAGUUUUAUUGGUUUCUCAUAGCUAUUAUCUUAUGACUCUUAUUGUCAUUAAAAUGUCAUUUGACUGGAGCUUUGUAAUUGAUACAAUCAUUCUAUAGAUUGAAGUAUACACGUGUUGAUGAUGGAAAUGGUUUCUAUUAUUUGAAA